UAUAGAACAAUGCAUUUUCGAGAGUAAAAUCAGCAUGACUACUCACCACACCGAACAGAAUGGGUUUGACCGACUGAUAGUGAGAAGAGGCCUGCCAUUCACCAUCACUUUGCUCCUAAAAUCUGGGAGUCACUUCCAAGCAGGCGUCAGCACCUUCAGGGCUGUUGCCGAGAGAGGAGUUAGGCACCAAGGCUACCUUCAGCCUGACUGACUCUGCAUCAAAGACAGGCUGGAGUGCAUUCGCUACUACUCCCUCUGGGAAUGUCAUCUCAGUAUCUGUGUCCUCUCCUCCUGAUGUCCCCAUUGGACUGUACUUCUUGACUUUGGACCAGGGCCAGAAAGUCAAACUGUGGGAGUUUGUACUGCUGUUCAAUCCAUGGUGUGCCAGUAAAUCACAUUAUUUUUAAUCCCUGGUGUGCCUGUAAAUCACAAUAUUUUGUUACAAAGUGCUAUACAGAAACCCAGCCUAAAACCCCAAACAGCAAGCAAUGCAGAUGUAGAAGCACGGUGGCUAGGAAAAACUCCCUAGAAAGGCAGGAACCUAGGAAGAAACCUAGAGAGGAACCAGAUUCUGAGGGGUGGCCAGUCCUCUUCUGGCUGGGCCGGGUGGAGAUUAUAACAGUACAUGGCCAGGAUGUUCAAAUGUUCAUAGAUGACCAACAGGGUCAAAUAAUAAUAAUCACAGUGGCUGUACUGUAGAAGUUGCAAAAGGUCAACACCUCAGGAGUAAAUGUCAGCAGGUGCGGUAGAGAGAGAGAGUCGAAAACAGCAGGUCUGGGACAGGUAGCACUUCCGGUGAACAGGUCAGUGUUCCAUAGCCGCAGGCAGAACAGUUGAAACUGGAGCAGCAGCAUGACCAGGUGGAGUGGGCACAGCAAGGAGUCAGGUAGUCCUGAGGUAGUCCUGAGUAGUCCGAGGCAUGGUCCUAGGGAUCAGGUUCUCCGAGAUAAGAGAGAAAGAGAUAGAGAAUUAGAGGGAGCAUACUUCAAUUCACACAGAAUAUAAGACAAGAGAAAUACUCCAGAUAUAACAGACUGACCCUAGCCCCCCGACAUAAACUAUUGCAGCAUAAUUAUUGGAGGCUGAGACAGGAGGGGUCGGGAGACACUAUGGUCCCGUCUGACGAUACCCCCGGACAGGGCCAAACAGACAGGAUAUAACCCCACCCACUUUGCCAAAGCACAGGCAUAGGCAAGGUG
ensembl:lncRNA